CCUACGGGGGGCAGCAGUGGGGAAUAUUGCGCAAUGGGCGAAAGCCUGACGCAGCGACGCCGCGUGAGGGAUGAAGGUCUUCGGAUCGUAAACCUCUGUCAGCAGGGAAGAACGGUCACGGUGCUAAGCAGCAGUGAAUUGACGGUACCGGCAAAGGAAGCACCGGCUAACUCCGAGCCAGCAGCCGCGGUAAGACGGAGGGUGCGAGCGUUACUCGGAAUUACUGGGCGUAAAGCGCUCGUAGGCGGUAUGUCAAGUCAAGGGUGAACUCCCCGCGCGCCACGUGGGAACUGCCUUUGAAACUGGCAAACUGGACUGUGUGAGCGGCUAGUUGCAUUCCAGGUGUCGGCGU
rnacentral:rRNA from 1 species